UUCUCUGUGCUCUCAAGCUCUCCCUCUCUUUGCUCUCAAACUAUCCCUCUCAGUAUUAUCUCACUCUCACUCUCACUCUCGCUCUUGGUUCUCUCACUCUCACUCUCCUUCUCGGGUCCCUUAGUUCUCUCACUCUCACUCUCCUUCUAAUCGGCCUCCGCUCUCAAACCUAGCAACACUUUCCCUCUCAUCGGCCCCCACUCUCAAACCUAGCAACAUUCUCACUCUGUAAUUAUGGCUCCCUGAUUGAUCACGUGCCAUUGGUCUGCUUCAUCUUUGGCUCAGAGUGAGCAGUCGACCCCAAUGGUACUGUGGUGGCCAGUGGUAUCCAAGCACUGACUGCAGAGUUGAUAGCUGACACCAGUUCGACCACACCAUUACCCCUUUCUCCCUGAUCUACUUAGCGACUCCACAUCACCCGUCACCACCAACCACCUCCAGCACCGUUGGCUAUCACUUCAUCCCCACUCUGGUAGCGUAGAGGCUGAAUCAGCCCUCGUGGAUGGAGAGGAGACGAGAGGAUAACUCCCCACCGGCCCAAGGAAUAAAAAGACUCGGGGCAUUUUGUCAGGUCUGAAGACAAACCAGAUCACUCGAACUACCUAGGCUCCGAUCCAGAUUGUAAGCCUCCCCAACCACCGUCGAGCCUGUGCUAAUGUCAACAGUUUGUUGACUCACGACUGCGAGGCCAUCAUCCGUAACAAAUGCCCCAUGGAUGCUGAUUCAUAGAUUUCAUAUAGGCAGGAGGUUUGCCAGGAGAUGUACUGCCCAGCUUUCAUCCAACUUUUCAUGGAACGAGCUUGACAGAGGUUGUAUGGAGUACAUUGACUGGAUCUGGAAGUUGCGGUUCAAGGAGUGGAAGUAUGAGCUCCACAAGUACUACAAGUAUUGUCCGACACUUGAGGCAGUGCAGGGGACCCUCCCAAGGAGUUUCUGGAGAGGGUGGGCGAGUGGGACUAAGUUUGGCACUCAUUUUUGAGAGUGAAAAGUAUAAGGUAAUAAAUAUUUAUAUUUAUAUUUUUAAUUAUUAUUUUAUAAUUAUUUUUUCAACUUCAUCAAAGAUGUGUGUUAUUUAGGAUUUUGGGGUAUCCCAUGCACCGCAAAAAGGAAAAGAACGAACAAACAUGUAAUAGAAGUGAGAUAAUAAACCUUGAAAUUUUUUUAUUAUAAAGAGAAUAGGGGUUUUGACAA